rnacentral:rRNA from 1 species
UAGGGAAUCUUUCACAAUGGGCGAAAGCCUGAUGGAGCAACGCCGCGUGCAGGAUGAAGGCCUUCGGGUUGUAAACUGCUUUUAUAAGCGAGAAAUAUGAUGGUAACUUAUGAAUAAGGAUCGGCUAACUACGUGCCAGCAGCCGCGGUCAUACGUAGGAUCCGAGCAUUAUCCGGAGUGACUGGGUGUAAAGAGUUGCGUAGGUGGCAUAAUAAGUAGCUAGUGAAAUCUGGUGGCUCAACCAUUCAGACUAUUAGCUAAACUGUUAAGCUCGAGACCGUUAGGGGUAACUGGAAUUUCUAGUGUAGGAGUGAAAUCCGUAGAUAUUAGAAGGAACACCGAUAGCGUAGGCAGGUUACUGGGACGGUUCUGACACUAAGGCACGAAAGCGUAGGGAGCAAACGGG